rnacentral:lncRNA from 1 species
UUCCUCUAAUAUGAUAUAAGACAUUAAAAGGAGGCUUAUUUUCUAUUGUACUGUGUUAUAGACUACCCUUCAGCUUUGGCAUCCUCAUAUGGAACAGAGGGGGUAAGAUAUAGGACCUGAUGGCCUAGGCCACAAACAGAGAAAUACUGUGUUUGCUGGAGUAAACUGAGAGACUAUGGCAUUCUGAAGGCCAGUUUGAUAAGUGAUAGCUUCUGGCAGCAGCAUAGCUGCUACAAGCAAUGGACACUUUUUGAGAGCCAAAUGCUGAGGGUAAAUUGCAAAAAAGACUCAACUCUGCUAUUCAAAUGGACUACAGUUUAAUAAGAAGAGACUGCCAGUGGCAAAAGAGUAUAAUAUGUGCUACGGAUCUCUCAGCGGUUAAAGCUCAGAUGGAACCCCCUUAUGAAAUAUCCACAAGAUGCUGCUGAGGUGCUCAAGAACUUGUCUGCAGUCCUUGCCUAAGCAGAUGGUGAUCAUCAUGACAGAAGUGAUUUUUUUCUCAUUCCUUUUGUGUAUCUCUGAAGUUCCUACUCUGGGCCUUUAACCUAGCACUGUCAUCACCAAACUGUCAGUCCUUGAUUAUCAUCAAUGGUGGAACAACCCUGCCCCAGCUUAUGACAGCAACAAAUUGAGACUCAUCCUUCAGUUAUGUGCACGUAAAUUAUCUAUGCUACCUGAAAGAUUAUUUUUUCACUUACCAAGGUUUUAGCAACUCUAAUUAACGUAUAAUGUUUAGUCUAGAUAUCCAUCUAGAUAUCCAUCAAUUGACUUAACUGAAUUUUAGCUAUCCGAUUGCCUAAAUAAACUUGAUAUAUAACUAUUGUAUAGUCAGAUAAGAAUUUUUAACAUUAAUGAAGAAUUGUUUAAUGGACAAUAACAGUCCCAUUAUUUAAACACUAAAAAGCUAAGUGCUACAGUCAAAAAUUAAACUAAGCUAUUUCUUGAAUUAUUAAUCUAUUUCCACUUAGAUGUCCUCCUUAGAACAUUUUAUAAUCUGAAACACUUGUGACUGUUUUAUGAUUGUUAAAUUUUUACUGAAGGAGUUAAAGCAUUUUCUGCCUAAUACACCUACAAAAAUAACCUUAUUUAACUUGACAAACACAGUCCAAUACAUAUUUAAGCUAUUUUGAAAAUAAUGGAAAAAUCUUAUUAAUAACUGUUUUCUCUUGUGGGGUGUGGUGAAUAGUAAUUUAGGGCAGGUGAGAGCAAAGCAAUUUAACUUUUCCCUUGUUAGUUCCUUUGACCUACAAGUUUGGAGGUCUCUGCAGCACCCUUGAGCUUUUUCCACAGAAUAAAGUAAUAGUUGCUAAGACUUUGCCAAAAAAUAAAAAAAUAAAAAACUAUCUGUUUUGCUGUUAGGUUCUGCCUCUAUCUUGUUCAGGUAUUUCUUGUAUUAUUUCUA